UACGGGAGGCAGCAGUGGGGAAUAUUGCACAAUGGGCGAAAGCCUGAUGCAGCUAUACCGCGUGUAUGAAGAAGGCCUUAGGGUUGUAAAGUACUUUCAUCGGGGAGGAAAAAACAAAACUAAUAAUUUUAUUUCUUGACGUUACCCGAAAAAGAAGCACCGGCUAACUCCGUGCCAGCAGCCGCGGUAAUACGGAGGGUGCUAGCGUUAAUCAGAAUUACUGGGCGUAAAGAGCACGUAGGUGGUUUUUUUAAGUCAGAUGUGAAAUCCCUGGGCUUAACCUGGAACUGCAUUUUGAAACUGAAAUACUAGAGUAUCGUAGAGGGAGGUAGAAUUCUAGGUGUAGCGGUGAAAUGCGUAGAUAUCUGGAGGAAUACCUGUGGCGAAAGCGGCCUCCUAAACGAACUACUGACACUGAGGUGCGAAAGCGUGGGGAGCAAACAGGGAUUAGAUACCCGU
rnacentral:rRNA from 1 species